rnacentral:rRNA from 1 species
AUUGAACGCUGGCGGCAUGCCUUACACAUGCAAGUCGAACGGCAGCACGGGUGCUUGCACCUGGUGGCGAGUGGCGAACGGGUGAGUAAUACAUCGGAACGUACCUUAUCGUGGGGGAUAACGCAGCGAAAGCUGUGCUAAUUCCGCAUACGCCCUGAGGGGGAAAGCGGGGGAUCGAAAGACCUCGCGCGAUUAGAGCGGCCGAUGCCUGAUUAGCUUGUUGGUGGGGUAAAAGCCCACCAAGGCGACGAUCAGUAGCUGGUCUGAGAGGACGAUCAGCCACACGGGGACUGAGACACGGCCCAGACUCCUACGGGAGGCAGCAGUGGGGAAUUUUGGACAAUGGGGGCAACCCUGAUCCAGCAAUGCCGCGUGAGUGAAGAAGGCCUUCGGGUUGUAAAGCCCUUUUGUCAGGGAAGAAACACCGGCUCUAACACAGUCCGGGAAUGACGGUACCUGAAGAAUAAGCACCGGCUAACUACGUGCCAGCCGCCGCGGUAA